rnacentral:rRNA from 1 species
AUGGAGGUGCCGCCGGCGCAGGCGGACUGCGACGGCGCCCGGCGCCGGCUCCAGGACUACCUGCUCGCGCUCGAGGAAGAGCGCCGCAAGAUCCACGUCUUCCAGCGCGAGCUCCCCCUCUGCCUCGACCUCGUCACCCAGACAAUCGAGGGGAUGAAGAGCCAGAUGGGCGGCGCCGCCAGCGAGGAGACGGUAAGCGACCACGGCGGGCCCGUGCUCGAGGAGUUCAUCCCGCUCAAGCCCAGCCUGUCCUUGUCCUCUUCCGACGACGAGACCAGCAACCACCACGCCGCGGCGCCGGUCUCAAACGCUAAGGCCGAGACGCCGCCGCCCACGCCGGAGACCAAGAAGGCGAUGCCCGACUGGCUCCAGUCCGCGCAGCUUUCGACCUGGAGCGAGCCCCAGCAAUCAUCAUCUCUUCAAAAGGAACUCUACCAGGUGCUGCCAUGCAGACCGGUGGCGCUGAACGCCACCAGGACCGGGGGAGCGUUCCACCCCUUCGAGAAGGAGAAGCAGCCCGAGCCUGAGCUGCCGGCCUCGUCAACCACGGCACCGGCAAGCUCGGCGUUGGUCGGAGACAGCGGCGACAAGGCCACCAGCGACACUGAGGUGCACGACAAGGACAGCAAGGAUGUCACUGAGAAAGACACAGACAAAGACAAAGAGGGGCAUUCGCAGCCUAACCGGAAGCCACGGCGGUGCUGGGCGCCGGAGCUCCACCGACGGUUCCUGCAAGCACUGCAGCAGCUGGGCGGGUCCCACGUGGCGACACCGAAGCAGAUCCGGGAGCUGAUGAAGGUUGACGGCCUCACCAACGACGAGGUCAAGAGCCAUUUGCAGAAGUAUCGUCUGCACACGUCAAGGCGGCCGAGCUCCACGGCCCAGAGCGGCGCCACCGCCGCAACUCAGCCCGCGCCGCAGUUCUUCGUGGUGGGCAGCUGCAUCUGGGUUCCCCAGCAGGAGUAUGCCGCUGCUGCCGCCGCCGCCGCGGCAGCAGCAGAUGCAACCAAUGUUGCUCCCGGAAGCGCGAACCAAGUAUACGCUCGGACGGCGACGCUACCAUCAGGGUUGAAGCCACACUUAGAAAAGCAGUCGAGUAGGCAGUCGGAAGGCCCGAGGAGCGGCGACACGGGCGGCGUUAACUCGGACACGGACAACCCAGCUAUGUCGUCGUCGUCGUCGCAAACCACAUCUGCAGGGCAUCCUUAG